UACGUAGGCAGCAAGCGUUGUUCGGAAUUACUGGGCGUAAAGAGUGUGUAGGUGGUGCUCUAAGUUCGGUGUGAAAUCUCCCGGCUCAACUGGGAGGGUGCGCCGAAAACUGGAGUGCUGGAGCGCGGGAGAGGAAAGCGGAAUUCCUGGUGUAGCGGUGAAAUGCGUAGAUAUCAGGAGGAACACCGGCGGUGUAGACGGCUUUCUGGACCGUAGCUGACGCUGAGACACGAAAGCGUGGGUAGCAAACAGG
rnacentral:rRNA from 1 species